UCUGCUUUUGGUGACGCCUGACCUUGAAUUGAAAAUGGAUGUUUGUACUUUUGUGGCUAUGUACUGUCCUAACAUAAUCUAACUUUAUGCUUUUGCCGUAAAGCCUCUUUGAAAAUCGAACAAUGUGGUUAGAUUAAGGAGAUGUUUAUCAUUUAAAUUGUGUAAAAUAGUUGAUUGUUUGAGAAAUUGAAAUUAUUAGAUUUUUGAUGUUUUGAAUUUCCAGCCUUGUUAGCAAUCCCGGCUCGGGGUUCAUUGCUAACCUGUAGCCCCAACAGGGUAUUAAGUUAAGAUCUUUUCAUUUUUCAGUUAAGUGCCUGCACCUGCUGUCCUUUCAAAUUCAAAUCCAAAUGUUUCAGUUGGGCAGUUAGGUUCCUGCAAGAACCCCGACCAACUAAGGAGGUUCCACGAUGAACCCCACCUCCUAUGGGGUUCUUGGAAGAACCUUUUGGGUGCAAUUUUCAGUGCCAAGAACCCUAAGGUUCUUUGAAGAACUUUGAGGAUCUUAGAAGAACUCUUGUUGAACCCCUAAUUUUUAGAGGGGAUCUGCUGUACCUAUGUUAUGCAGGAAAAAGUCAGUUACAAAUGAUUUUGUUUUGGUUAAAAACAGGUUGUCAUCCAGGAGGCUUUGAUUCAAUUUCCAAUAUCAUUGUGCACAUGGAAAUUCUGUAAGAAUAAUGCGGAUGCCAAUUAUUUAAUGGUCUGAUCGCAUUCUGCCCCCUAUAAAAAAAUUUUUUUUUACUUUUGGUGCCAGCGAGAAGAACACAAGAAAGUAGUCAAGACAACUAUCUUAAUUAAGGCUCCAUGUAUAUCUCAUUAGGUCAGGAUUUUAAGCCUCCUCCAUGUAUAUCUAACUAGGACAGGAUUUUUAAGCCUCCAUACAUCCACUUGUUGUAAUGUAUCCAUGACAUUCGUAAUUUCCCUAAGUGCAUGAGGGUGAUAGUUUGUAGUGUGAUUUCCUUCACGGUCCAUUGGGGUAGUUAAACCCGUAUUAUAAUCUCCCACCAUAAUAAUACAGUCAUUUGUUGCAUGUGAACUCGAUAGAGGAUUAUACAUAUUUUCAAAGAACCAUGGAUCAUCAUUAUUUGGACCGUAUAGAUUAAUUAGACAAAUCUGUUAAUGGUCCAAUAGCAUAUUUAAAAGGAUCCACCUUACUUGAGGUUCUGUUUGGACAGUUUGCAAAAUCGAUUUGAAAUUGUUAUUAAUUAAUAUCAUCACCAUCCCAGUCCUUUCCUCAUCUAUAGUUAUAGGGUAAGUUUUCCUGUAAACAAUAAAUAUUAUACCUUGUCCGUAGACUGCUUACAGGGUAAAGAAACCAACAUGUAAUUUGUCAUUUAGGUGAAGUAUCCCCUUAACAAGUUCAGGCAUGAAUUCCAAGUGGUUAGGGCUAAGGUUUGGGUAAGAGUUAAAACAGAGAGUGCCUAGCACUGGGAUUGAAUCUGCGAUGUUCGGAGUCGUAGCUCACCAUAGCUCAUAAUCCAUCCCCAUUGCCAUUUAUCAUCAGUUGAACGCUACUAGCGCACCACUAGCUAGAUAUUUGACAUCGGUUACAUCUCCACCAGAGAGGGUGGAAACACUCCUAACCUCCAAACCUGGCAGGCCUUCACUAAUGAGGAAUACGGGCUAGGCUGUCAGUGGGUUCAUUAAUGGAUCAAGGUUGCUUCCUUAACACAAACACACUGACAGAGGAAGUGAACGGAGCAAGAUUGUUUCCUUAACACAAACACACUGACAGAGGAAGUGAACGGAGCAAGGUUGUUUCCUUAACACAAACACACUGACAGAGAAAGUGAACGGAGCAAGGUUGUUUCCUUAACACAAACACACUGACAGAGAAAGUGAACGGAGCAAGGUUGUUUCCUUAACACAAACACACUGACAAAAGAAGUGAACGGAGCAAGGUUGUUUCCUUAACACAAUCACACUGACAGAGGAAGUGAACGGAGCAAGGUUGUUUCCUUAACACAAUCACACUGACAGAGGAAGUGAACGGAGCAUGGUUGCUUCCUCUGCAGAAAGACAGCAUCUAGCCCAAACACACACUCCUAUGAGUCAGCAGUUUAUGGGGAGCGUACUGUACAGUGCUUGUGAGCCAGUGGCUAAACUACCAAUCAUUUGGAAGGAAUGCCAUAAUUACUUUUGUAGGGUAAAAAGAGCAAGAAAAAAUGAAAGUUGAAGGUCCACAUCAGACUACAGUCUCUAAUAACACAGUUUCUCUCCCUCUGUAUUCGUUCCAGCCCCUCAGGGACCAAUGAAUGCCAACUUUCUGAUACACAGUUUGAUAGGAAGGCCUGUUUAGCUCUCUAACAAAUAUCAAUGUGGAAGUUUUACCUGUUGUUUCAACAAAUACUUUUCCGUAAAGGAGUAACUACUGCCUCCCCUGAUUCGUUUAAGGGUGUGCUUAUCUCUCCUGAAUGUCAACGGUAAUAAACAGUGCUAAACAUAAUAAUCGAUAAUACUCGUCAACAUACUUCAAAUCAAACCAUAUUCUAUUAAUCACAUGCACCUAAUACAACUGGUGUAGACUUUACAGUGAAACGCUUGCUCACAAACAUUUCCCAACUAUGCACAGUGGGGGAAAAAAGUAUAACUAAAACAAGAGGAAUGAAAUAAAAUACACAAGAAUGGAGCUAUUUACAGGAAGUACCAGUACCAGAUCACUGUGGAGCUAUAUACUGGGAGUACCAGUACCAGAUCAAUGUGGAGCUAUACACAGGGAGUACCAGUACCAGAUCAAUGUGGAGCUAUAUACUGGGAGUACCAGUAUCAGAUCAAUGUGGAGCUAUAUACAGGGAGUACCAGUACCAGAUCAAUGUGGAGCUAUACACAGGGAGUACCAGUACCAGAUCAAUGUGGAGCUAUAUACUGGGAGUACCAGUACCAGAUCAAUGUGGAGCUAUAUACAGGGAGUACCAGUACCAGAUCACUGUGGAGUUAUUUACAGAGAGUAUAAGUACCAGAUCACUGUGGAGUUAUAUACAGGGAGUACCAGUACCAGAUCAAUGUGGAGCUAUAUACAGGGAGUACCAGUACCUGAUCAAUGUGGAGUUAUAUACAGGGAGUACCAGUACCACAUCAAUGUGGAGCUAUAUACAGGGAGUAUCAGUACCAGACCAAUGUGGAGCUAUAUACAGGGAGUACCAGUACCAGAUCAAUGUGGAGCUAUAUACAGGGAGUACCUGUACCAGAUCAACGUGGAGCUAUAUACAGGGAGUACCAGUACCAGAUCAAUGUUGAGCUAUAUACAGGGAGUACCAGUACCAGGUCAAUGUGGAGCUAUAUACAGGGAGUACCAGUACCAGAUCAAUGUGAGGCUACAUACAGGGAGUACCAGUACCAAAUCAAUGUGGAGCUAUAUACAGGGAGUACCAGUACCAGAUCAAUGUGGAGCUAUAUACAGGCAGUACCAGUACCAGAUCAAUGUGGAGCUAUACACAGGGAGUAUCAGUACUAGAUCAAUGUGGAGCUAUAUACAGGGAGUACCAGUGCCAGAUCAAUGUAGACUUAUAUACAGGGAGUACCAGUACCAGAUCAAUGUUAGGCUAUAUACAGGGAGUACCAGUACCAGAUCAAUGUGGAGCUAUACACAGGGAGGACCAGUACCAGAUCAAUGUGGAGUUAUAUACAGGGAGUACCAGUACCAGAUCAAUGUAGACUUAUAUACAGGGAGUACCAGUACCAGAUCAAUGUGGAGCUAUAUACAGGCAGUACCAGUACCAGAUCAAUGUGAAGCUAUAUAUACGGAGUACCAGUACCAGAUCAAUGUGGAGCUAUAUACAGGGAGUAUCAGUACCAGAUCAAUGUGGGGCUAUAUACAGGGAGUACCAGUACCAGUACCAGAUCAAUGUGGAGUUAUAUACAGGGAGUACCAGUACCAGAUCAAUGUGGAGCUAUAUACAGGGAGUACCAGUACCAGAUCAAUGUGGAGCUAUAUACAGGGAGUACCAGUACCAGAUCAAUGUGGAGCUAUAUACAGGGAGUACCAGUACCAGAUCAAUGUGGAGCUAUAUACAGGGAGUAUCAGUACCAGAUCAAUGUGGAGCUAUACACAGGGAGUAUCAGUACCAGAUCAACGUAGAGCUGUAUACAAGGAGUACAAGUACCAGAUCAAUGUGGAGCUAUAUACAGGGAGUACCAGUACCAGAUCAAUGUGGAGCUAUAUACAGGGAGUAUCAGUGCCAGAUCAAUGUGGAGCUAUAUACAGGGAGUACCAGUACCAGAUCAAUGUGGAGUUAUAUACAGGGAGUACCAGUACCAGAUCAAUGUGGAGUUAUAUACAGGGAGUACCAGUACCAGAUCAAUGUGGAGCUAUAUACAGGGAGUACCAGUACCAGAUCAAUGUGGAGUUAUAUACAGGGAGUACCAGUACCAGAUCAAUGUGGAGCUAUAUACAGGCAGUACCAGUACCAGAUCAAUGUGGAGUUAUACACAGGGAGUACCAGUACCAGAUCAAUAUGGAGCUAUACACAGGGAGUGCCAGUACCAGGUACUUGAGUUAAAUACAGUAUGUACUUGAAGGCAGGUUAAAAGUGAUCAGGAAUCAAGAUAGAUAGUAAUGCACGUAAAACAAAGAAUGGAGUAGCAGCAGCAAAUGAUUAGUGCAAAAGUGUGAGUGUGUGAGUGUGCGUGUAUGUAUUUUUCUUUGUAGUGUUUGAAUGUGUGAGGAAUUUGUGUGGGAGUGACAGUGUAGUGGGUGUGAAUGGUUGUGUAUGUGUUGUGUACAAUGCAUUCGGAAAGCAUUCAGACCCCUUGACUUUUACAAAAUUGUGUUACGUUACAGCCUUAUUACAAAAGUAAUUAAAUAACAUUUUUUUCCUCAUCAUUGCACACAAUACCCCAUAAUGAUAAAGAGAAAACAGGUUUUAAAAAAACAGAAAUACCUUAUUUACAUAAGUAUUCAGACACUUUGCAAUAAGACUCGAAAUUGAGCUCAGGUGCAUUCUUUUUCCAUUGAUCAUCCUUGAGAUGUUUCUACAACUUGAUUGGAGUGCACCUGUGGUAAACUCAAUUGUUGGACAUGAUUUGGAAAGGCACACACAUGUCUAUGUAAGGUCCCACAGAAGACAGCGCAUAUUAGAGCAAAAAUCAAGCCAUGGGGUCAAAGGAAUUGUCCGUAGUGCUCCGAGACAGGAGUGUGUCGAGGCACAGAUCUGGGGAAGGGUACCAAAAAAUUCUGCAGCACAGUUGACUCCAUCACUCUUAAAUGGAAGAACUUUGGUUGCACCAAGACUUUUCCUAGAGCUGGCCGCCCAGCCAAGCUGAGAAAUCUGGGGAGAAGGGCCUUAGUCAGGAGGUGACCAAGAACCGGAUGGUCACUCUGACAGAGCUCUAGAGUUCCUCUGUAGAGAUGGGAGAACCUCUGGUUCUCUGGUCUGAUGAAACCGAGAUUGAACUCUUUGGCCUGAUUGCCAAGCGUCACGUCUGGAGGAAACCUGGCACCAUCCCUAUGGUGAAGCAUGAUGGUGGCAGCAUCAUGCUGUGGAGAUGUUUUUCAGAGGCAAGGACUGGGAGAUUAGUCAGGAUCGAGGGAAAGAUGAACAGAGCAAAGUACAGAGAGGUCUUUGAUGAAAACCUGCUCCAGAGCGUUGAGGACCACAUACUGGGGCGAAGGUUCACCUUUCAGCAGGACAAUGACCCUAAUCACACAACCAAGACAACACAGGAGUGGCUUCAGGACAAGUCUCUGAAUGUCCUUGAGCGGCCCAGCCAGAGCCCGGACUUGAAACCGAUCGAACAUCUCUGGAGAAACCUGAAAAUAACAGUGCAGCGACACUCCCCAUCCAACCUGACAGAGCUUGAGAGGAUCUGUAGAGACAAAAGGGAGAAACUCCCCAAAUACAGGUGUGCGAAGCUUGUAGCGUCAUACCCAAGAAGACAUGAGGUUGUCAUUGCUGCCAAUGGUGCUUCAACAAAGUACUGAGUAAAGGGUCUAAAAAGUAUUUAAAUGUGAUAUUGUUGUGUCAUUAUAGGGUAUUGUGUGUAGAUUGAUGAGCGGAAAAAACUAUUUAAUCAAUUUUAGAAUAAGGCUGUAACAUAAUACAAUUCUGAAAAAGUAAAGGGGUUUGAAUACAUUCCGAACGCACUGUAUAUAACGUCUAGUGAGUGUCUGUAGGGUCAGUGCAGAUUGGGUACUAUUAAUUGACUAUUUAGCUGUCUGGUUAUUUUGCAGUCAUAUGUCUUGGUUGUAAAAGCUGUCUCGGAGCCUGUUGGUCCUUAGAGCCGAUGCUCAGGUAUCAUUUGCUGGACGAUAGCAGAGUGAACAGUCUAUAGAUUGUGUGGCUGGAGUCGUUGGCAAUUUUUCGGGUCUUUCUCUGACACUGCCUGAUAUAGAGGUCCUGGAUGGCAGGGAGCUCGGUCCCAGUGAUGUACUGGGCUGUCCACACCACCCUUUGUAUCGCUUUGCUGUCAAGGGCGGUGCAAUUGCCACACCAAGCGGUGAUGCAGCCACUCAAGAUGCUCUCGAUGGUGCAGCUGUAGAACUUUUUGAGGAUCCAAAUCUUUUCAGCCUCCUGAAGGGGAAGAGGCGGUGCUGUGUCCUCUUCGUGACUGUGCGGGUGUGUGUGGACCAUGUUAAGUCCUCAGUGAUGUGACGCCAAGGAACUUAAAGCUCUCAAGCUGCUCCACAACACCCCUGUCAAUGUGGAUGGGGGUGUGCUUUCCCUUCUUUCUCCUAUAGUCCACAAUCAGCUCAUUGGUCUUUCUUGACAUUGAGGGAGAGGUUGUUGUCCUGUCACCACACUGCUAAGUCUCUGACCUCUUCCCUAUAGCCUGACUCAUCGCGGUCGGUGAUCAGGCCUACAACUGCAAACUUGAUGAUGGUGUUGCAGUCUAGGAGGGGUAUAGGAGGGGACUAAGCACAUACCCCUGAGGGGCCCCUGUGUUGAGGGCCAGCGUGGCAGAGGUGUUGUUGUCUACCGUCACCACCUGGGGCAGACCAGUCAAGAAGUCUAGGAUCCAGUUUCAGAGGCAGGUGUUCAGUCCCAGGGUCCCUAGCUUAGUAAUGAGCUUGGUGUUAAACACUGAGCUGUACUCUGAACAGCAUUCUAAGAGUUAUUUCUCCUCUUGUCCAGGUGGGAGAGGGAUCUGAGUGGAUCUGUUGAUGCGGUAUAUGAAUUGGAGUGGGUCUAGGGUGUCUGGGAUUAUGGUGUCGAAGUGUGUCAUGACCAGCAUUUCAAAGCACUUCAUAAUUACAGAUGUGAGUGGCACAGGGUGGUAAUCAUUUAGACAUGUUACCUUGGAUCUCUUGGGAACAGGGACAAUGGUGGUCAGCUUGAAACAUGUUGGGAAUGGGACAAGACUGGGACAAGGAGAGUUUGAAAAUGUUAACCUCUUGGGGCUAUGUGGGACGCUAGCGUGCCACCCGUGGUGUACCCUAUCAACAGCAGGUGCAUUUCAAGAGCGGCAAAUUUGAAACCAAAUAAAUGUCAAAAUUCAAAUUUUUCAAACAUACAACUAUCUUACACCCUUUGAAAGAUAAACAUCUCCUUAAUCUAACCACGUUGUCCGAUUUCAAAAAGGUUUUACGGCGAAAGCAUAAAGUUAGAUUAUGUUAGGAGAGUACAUUGACAAUAGCUGUGUGUAAUGUUUUGUCAAUUCAAAGACAGGCGUCACCAAAACCAUAAAAUGAUGCACUAACCUUUUACAAUCUCC
rnacentral:lncRNA from 1 species